rnacentral:rRNA from 1 species
GAUGAACGCUGGCGGCGUGCCUAAUACAUGCAAGUCGAGCGAACAGACGAGGAGCUUGCUCCUCUGACGUUAGCGGCGGACGGGUGAGUAACACGUGGAUAACCUACCUAUAAGACUGGGAUAACUUCGGGAAACCGGAGCUAAUACCGGAUAAUAUAUUGAACCGCAUGGUUCAAUAGUGAAAUACGGUUUUGCUGUCACUUAUAGAUGGAUCCGCGCCGCAUUAGCUAGUUGGUAAGGUAACGGCUUACCAAGGCAACGAUGGGUAGCCGACCUGAGAGGGUGGUCGGCCACACGGGAACUGAGACACGGUCCAGACUCCUACGGGGGGCAGCAGUAGGGAAUCUUCCGCAAUGGGCGAAAGCCUGACGGAGCAACGCCGCGUGAGUGAUGAAGGUCUUCGGAUCGUAAAACGCUGUUAUUAGGGAAGAACAAAUGUGUAAGUAACUAUGCACGUCUUGACGGUACCUAAUCAGAAAGCCACGGCUAACUACGUG